rnacentral:lncRNA from 1 species
GACUUCUCUCAGGAGGAGUGGGAAUUCCUGGACCCUGCUCAGAGGGACUUGUACAAAGGUAUAAUGUUGGAGAACUAAAGCAACCUGGUUUCACUGGGAACCAGAAGGCCUAAACCAUCUGUAAUCUCCUUACUUGAGAAUGGGAAGGAGCCAUGGCUGGAAGAGAGAAUGGUGACAGGAGCCACAAGCUUAGGGUUCUAUAAAAACAUUCUAGGGCAAAGAAUACGGAUGGUCAAUUAAAAUAACUAAGACAAGAAGUCGUUCUUGGUUUCUUCAUUCUCAAUUUUACUUCAUUCUCAAUUCAAAGAAGAACUACUGCCUUCAAAUAAGAAACAAGUGAAAAAACAGAGCUUAUAAAUACAGAGUACAGUUUGGUGGUUGCCAGGGGCAGGGUGUGGGGUUUGGGCAAAAUGGGUGAAGGGGAUC